GCCGGGCGCGGUGGCGCGCGCCUGUAGUCCCAGCUACUCGGGAGGCUGAGGCUGGAGGAUCGCUUGAGCCCAGGAGUUCUGGGCUGCCGUGCGCUAUGCCGAUCGGGUGUCCGCACUAAGUUCGGCAUCAAUAUGGUGACCUCCCGGGAGCGGGGGACCACCAGGUUGCCUAAGGAGGGGUGAACCGGCCCAGGUCGGAAACGGAGCAGGUCAAAACUCCCGUGCUGAUCAGUAGUGGGAUCGCGCCUGUGAAUAGCCACUGCACUCCAGCCUGGGCAACAUAGCGAGACCCCGUCUCUU
ensembl:misc_RNA Metazoa_SRP Metazoan signal recognition particle RNA